rnacentral:rRNA from 1 species
UGCCAGAACUCCUACGGGAGGCAGCAGUGGGGAAUAUUGCACAAUGGGGGAAACCCUGAUGCAGCGACGCCGCGUGAGCGAUGAAGUCUUUCGGUAUGUAAAGCUCUAUCAGCAGGGAAGAAAAUGACGGUACCUGACUAAGAAGCCCCGGCUAACUACGUGCCAGCAGCCGCGGUAAUACGUAGGGGGCAAGCGUUAUCCGGAUUUACUGGGUGUAAAGGGAGCGUAGACGGCCAUUCAAGCCAGAUGUGAAAGCCCGGGGCUCAACCCCGGGACUGCAUUUGGAACUGUGUGGCUAGAGUGUCGGAGAGGCAGGCGGAAUUCCUAGUGUAGCGGUGAAAUGCGUAGAUAUUAGGAGGAACACCAGUGGCGAAGGCGGCCUGCUGGACGAUGACUGACGUUGAGGCUCGAAAGCGUGGGGAGCAAACAGGAUUAGAUACCCUCGUAC